rnacentral:lncRNA from 1 species
CAUAUGGAGGUUCCCAGGCUAGAGGUUGAAUUGGAGCUACCACUGCUGGCCUACACCACAGCCACAGCAAUGCAGCAUCUGAGCUGUGUCUGAAACCUACACCAUAGCUCAUGGCAAUGCCAGAUCCUUAACCCACUGAGUGAGGCCAGGGAUCAAAACUGAGUCCUCAUGGUUCCUAGUCAGAUUCGUUUCCGAUGGGCCACAAUGGGAACUCCGUAAUUCAUUGAAUCAAUUAAUUCAAAAAAUUCUUCCUGAGUCCCACAUGUGCAAAGUCCUGUGCUGGAUAAUCAGAGAAUACAGAUGAUGAUGAUGAUGAUGAUGUGUCCUGCAGAGUCUGUAUCUAUAUCUCUCUCUACAACCUGGUACCUCAGGCUGCCUUCUACUGAUGAAAAACUUAUGGAAAACUGAGCAUGUUCGUUGACUUAUACUCAGGAUGCUCAUAGCAAAGAUGUGAUUUAAGUUCUGGGUCUGGCUAAAUCAUCUGAUGUUGAAGGAUUGCAUGGGAUUUGGAGAAAUCAAUAAAAGUAACUACUGUUCAAAGUGUCAGAAACACUCAUUUAGUCACCAAACCUCUCAGGCCAAAUUCUUGUCCUAUAAGAGGGGAAAGAUUCCAGCUCUUCAUUGACCCUCUGGGUUAACUCAUAGAUUUAACACAAUGAAUUCACAUCCUUCCCAUGUCCAGGCCAAGUUUCCACUUGAAAAUUAUUCUGUGACUUAAGAUCUUACUUAGCUCUGAAAAGGUCCCUAAAAAUAGCCUCACACAUUUAUAAUAGACUUCCUUUUUGAGAAAAUAUUAAAAACUCAUUCUAAGAGAAUCUUUAAAACUUUUGUUAAUAGUUUUCUUAAUCUUUAAAAAACUUAGAUGUAAUUACCAAACAUAAUAAACAAAAUAAUUUAUUUAUGACAAAUAAAAUUAUGAUAUUUUUCUAUGUGCAAUAAACUAUUUUUCCCCUCUAGUCAAUAGUUAAUAUGGAUUUCCUCAGCAUAAAUGCCUUUUCUUCAAUUUUAUUAGGUCGACACUAGCAACUAGUAGUGGAUGGACAUUUAAUUCUCCAACUACACUGGCGAUCACAGCUCCAAAUAUUAUCUGUUUUUUGCAUGAUACAUGGUAAGUGUUACGUGGUAAAAAUGACUUGCAGAUGCAUGGAUGUCUGAAUUGGAGUAAUGGGCAUGACAGAGCCUCAAGUGUGGUCUGGACAAAGGGGUCACUAAGAGCAUUCAUGAAGCAAUGAAUAUAGUAGAUUCCAAUUAAAAUAGGAAAUGUGUCUGGCCAAACCUGAGGCUAUCAUCUUAAUGGUCCUUCUGUUUUCUAACUAUAAAAUCCAACUAAUUGGUAUCUCACAGCCAGCCACAAACUCACUUAGCAAAGCAAAAUAAAUUAAUGCUGUGCUUUAGCUGAAAGAGAUCCCUAAAAGACUUGGGAAAGACCUGGGUUUCAGGGAGAAAGCAAAUGACUUUUUUUUUUUUACAUUUUUUAAUUCUUUUUUGGCCACCCUCAGCAUAUGGAGUUCCUGGGCCAAGGAUCAGAUCUGAGCUGCAGUUGUGCUUGCUGCACUGUAGCUGCAGCAAUGCCAGAUCCUUUAACCCACUGUGCCAAGCUGGAGAUCGAACCUGCAUCCUGGCACUGUAGCAACACUGAUACCAUUGCACCACAGCAGAAACUCCUCAAAUGACCUCUUUAUAGAUAUAUAGAAGGGGAUUUCAUAAGUCUCUACUGGUUGGCCUGGUAGGAAUUUGCUAGCAUUUGUAAACAGGGAUACCUGCUCCUCUAGUUUAUGUUGGAAAAUUCCAGCAGCUUGCCAGCAAACACGUCUGACCAACCUCAGUCCUCAACCACCUUCUUCUUUUCACUGAGGGUCACAGUUUAACUUGCUUUUCUUUUCUCUGUACCUGUGGCUAACCACUCUAUUCCAGGGGAUAAUUCCUUGCUCAAGGCAGGAGCCCAGUUGGGAUAUAAUCUUCACACUUCUCUAUUCUCCUCUAAAAACAAACAAAUAAAAAAAUGAUUUUUACUUGAACCAUGUCAUGCUAAGCUUAAAAGUGAAUCAAGGAUAGGAACAUAAAAUAACAAAACCAACUUUUAAAAAGUUAGAAAGGAUACCCAAAUCUACAGAAUCCUUACAGCCUCUGUUUCCAAACUACAGCCCUGACUCCCUUCUUCAAUGGUAAUGGCAUUUCUCUCUUUUCUCCCUUAUCCUUCCUUCUCUAGUUCCCUCCUCCUUCUAGAAUAACCCCUCCUGCCACAUCUAACAAUGGGUUGGAGGGUUCAAUUGAGGGUAAUUCUGUUGAUGUCGACACAAAUGACAUAGGUUUAUCAGGUUCAGCUUCUAGAAAGCCUCUGUUUCCUCCCAUUACAAAACUUUCCAAAAUGUAAACAUUUCCAUCAACAAUUCAGAUUCAAGUCAGGUCCAGCUGCUUAAAUAGACAGAGAACCCAGUAUGUGGCCCCAAAUUAUUAUAUAGCAAGAUAGUUACUUUAUUUCUUGGGUUCUUAAAGCUUUUUGAACUUGAAGUGUAAGUUCCCCAUGAGGAUUUGGGUCUGUGUAUUGAGAGGGAAGCAGGGAAAGUGCCCUCAUCAUUCCAACGCUUGUCCCGAAAUGUUCUUGCUCAAACUCAAAUGUUCAUGAGGAUACCAUUCUGCCAGCUGUUCUGAUUAAUUUAGCCAGCAGAUGCUGGGACCAAAAGCCUUGAGACAUGUCUCAUACAGCAAUUGAUUAAGGCUACUAUCAACAGACUCCAAGGACAAGAUGUAGCCAAUCUCAUUUAUGCCCCAUGCCUCAAAGUCCCAUAUUCUGUUGAUUUCUAAUAAAUCCCAGAGAUAUAGGGCUUUUGAGAUCCCCAGGAUAUAGACUGAGAUGAGAUUACUAUCUGUUACAACAAUUAAUGAAAAUAAUCAAUAAACAAUCUAUAAUGAGAAGAGAAAAGAGUUUUAUAUGAGGCAAACUGAGGACUAGCCCAGAAGCCCACUUGCCAGAUAACUGAGAAACUACCCCCAAGAAGCAUGGUUUCCAACACAGUGUUAUAUCUUUUCAGAACAAAGACUCUUAAACAAGUCAAGGUUACAUUUCUUCAAUGGUUCAAAGAGAGAAGAGACCAGCACAUACACAGCAAGUCAGUGUGGCCUUGGCACCUGUGAAGGGAGUCUUACCAUCAAAGGAGGACCAGCACUGGUGUCCCAGAAAGAAGAGCACUUAAUCUUUAUUUUUAACAUGGACAUUCUUCUGGUCAGUGUGCCCCUUUCCUAAAUAAUUAAGCAGAUGUAAAAUGUAGGUUUGAUAGGCUACAAACAGGCUAUUUUAGUUAGCAUAAAAUUCAAGUUAACUCAUAUAUAAACUAGAAUGACUUCCC